rnacentral:rRNA from 1 species
AGCGAACGCUGGCGGCAGGCUUAACACAUGCAAGUCGAGCGGGCACUUUCGGGUGUCAGCGGCGGACGGGUGAGUAACGCGUGGGAGCGUGCCCUCUGGUUCGGAAUAACUCAGGGAAACUUGAGCUAAUACCGGAUACGCCCUUUUGGGGAAAGGCUUGCUGCCGGAGGAUCGGCCCGCGCCUGAUUAGCUAGUUGGUGAGGUAACGGCUCACCAAGGCGACGAUCAGUAGCUGGUCUGAGAGGAUGAUCAGCCACACUGGGACUGAGACACGGCCCAGACUCCUACGGGAGGCAGCAGUGGGGAAUAUUGGACAAUGGGCGCAAGCCUGAUCCAGCCAUGCCGCGUGAGUGAUGAAGGCCUUAGGGUUGUAAAGCUCUUUUAUCCGGGACGAUAAUGACGGUACCGGAGGAAUAAGCCCCGGCUAACUUCGUG